rnacentral:rRNA from 1 species
UGGGGAAUAUUGGGACAAUGGGCGAAAGCCUGAUCCAGCCAUGCCGCGUGUGUGAAGAAGGUCUUCGGAUUGUAAAGCACUUUAAGUUGGGAGGAAGGGCAGUUACCUAAUACGUGAUUGUUUUGACGUUACCGACAGAAUAAGCACCGGCUAACUCUGUGCCAGCAGCCGCGGUAAUACAGAGGGUGCAAGCGUUAAUCGGAAUUACUGGGCGUAAAGCGCGCGUAGGUGGUUAGUUAAGUUGGAUGUGAAAUCCCCGGGCUCAAC